UUGCGUGCGCCGGCUGCGCCACAGAACACCAGCUGGGCAGCGCGCCAAAAAGAAUUUUGUUUGCCCAUGACAUCCUGUCCUGGUGAUGCCACCAUAGCUGCUAUUUCGCGUGAACGAGACGCCUGGCUUCGCCCAAUGGACAUGAUCUCCGUAUUCCGUCUUUUCGUUACCUGGUCUGCUUGAAAGUGGUGUAGAGCACUUCGAAAGCAUUGCAAUCCACCCCUUCGUGUGGGAUCAGCCUGAGGUGCCUCAAGCAGUGAAGCUCCUGCCUUAAAUCUCGUGAGCCAACUUUCUUAAGAGCCAUGGUGGUCAGCCGAAGACUGGAACCAAGUGCUUCCAAGUAGAAGAUUUGGCUUUUCCAUGCUUGCUGAAAUGGUUGGUCGUCGCCUACAGAGCAAGUAGAAGCAAGCAAGCACAACAGCUCGUGGACCAGCCUCAGUGAACCUUGCAGAUUUCGGCCAUACACCAGCUCUGCUUGUGCAAAUUCCGUUCCUUCAUGUGGCAAGAUGCACAAUGCAGACUGCGUGCCAGGGGACCCGGGUUGCUUGAGCGGUUCCACAACAGCUCAGCCUUCGGACCUCAAAUCUCCGUCAAAACUAUUGUCCGUUUCAUGGGCCAUUACCUGCUUGCGUUAAAGUUGCCAAGCUGACCUGGAUGCUACAUCACAGCCACCGAACAGAGCUGGAUUUCCUGAACACCCUCACCAAAGCUGAAGAUGCCUUCCUACCAUCAUUUCUGUUCCUGGAUUGCAUUCUCACCUGAAAGGAUGGAUCCACUCCCAUGCAACAGCACUGAGCAGACCUGCUCUGGGCCCAUUUGACGUUUCUUGGUGGACGCCGAGAUGCUGCCGGUGAACUCUGCUGUGUGCAUUCGAAUGCCGCUAGCACAAGGAAGCCUGGAUUAAAAUAAGCAUUCCUAAUAUGCAUAUAUUAGGUUUAUAAUGCAGUUACAGGGACACAGAAGGCAAAUGACAUUUUGUCAGAGUGAAAGCCCAAUGUAUGACAACGUACAAAAAUGCAAUAUUAUCAGCAGCAGUGCCCUACUUACAGAGAAAUUAAGGUGAAUGUAUCGCACAAUGUGCCCCUUGAGUGAGACACUUGUGAAAUGAUCCUGAUGAUGAAAGCAUUAGACUACAAUAAUCACUAGUACUCAUACUAUUGUAAUGAACGAGACAGAAACAGCACCGAUUCCUUCACCGGCUUUUCUAUUCUUUUUUCUCUAUUUUGCUCUGACUGCCCGCGUGCCCUAAACCUGGUAUUGCUCUUCAUCAUCACGCUAACUACAAGAAAAGUUUCCUAGCUUGCUGUGUGCCUCCUCUUUGCUUUGUUUCUGUGUUUACCCCCACGCUUCCAGUUUGCUUAACCAUUAAGAACCUUGUUCCCGGAUGGUAAUGUUUGUGGUGGUCUGAAAACUAGCACUCGGUUACUGCAUGCAUUGAAAAAUUUGCUGAUCAGCUUCGGCAACUCUAUGCUGUCUUCUACGUCCUGAUGAACGUGUGCCAGUGCCAUGCAGCUUAGCUGUGUUUUUCCCGUCUUGCUUCACAGGAAUGUCUUUGGUCUUCUGACGGCAAUGAGGGAUCAUUCACUCGAUGACCUGAAGCACACUCUAUCUCCUUGAGUACUGGCCAGUAGGCUCAUGCAUGUUACAAAUUAUUGCCACCACGCAGUCGACAGAACUCUGUUCUGGGUGCUCUUCAUGCAAUAAGCUAACGAGAGAUGCGACUUUGUUGGAGUCAAUGUCCUUGUAGCGUUGCGUCACCUCCACAUUUGCUUUCAAUAGCAUAUUUAAAAGAAAACUUUCCAGUGCCUUGUACAUGGCAGGUCUUUUUGAGUCGAGAUUAAAGCGCCUCUCUCUGCCUGACAGUGUGCCAUCCAUGGUUGAAACAAUAUGCACCGAAAGUAUUCUCUGCUUUGAUCGGAAUGACACAUGUGCUCCCUUUCUCACACUUGGUUGGACACCGUCUGUAUAUAAGCUUAUUCACUGAAUGUACCUUACCAUUCUACGCGACUUUAGCAGCAUGUUUUUUUAACAGUUCAUGAAACAUUUCUUCAUACCGCAAAUGGCGUAACUCAUGCUUGACAUACUCUACAACCAGGAACGUUAGGAUAACCCCUAAUGAAAAUUGUUGUAGGCUUGUGUUCAGGUUCUCAAGCACCGAAAACACACUCAAAGCGAUUUCUAGAAGAAGGACGGCGUUUCCGAAUUCCAUUAAGCAAGAAAGUUCACCAAUAUUUGCAGAUUGCUUUGCUGGAGCUUCUUUCUUCAUUUCUCCUGAGGAAGCAUUUACGACCUCUUGCUUGUUCAGUGCAGCACGUAUAGCUGGCUUUCUGCAUAAGAAACGCAGUGUACACUGGAAUUUGAUGUCCAUGCUAAAGUUUUUUUUACUAUAAAUCUGUUUAAAUGUGCUGAGAUUGGACCCAAUUUCCCUAACAUUCAUGAGAGUGUGCCCAGUUUUCCUAGCAGCUAUAAAAGCAUCUGGAAAGUUCUGCACAGCAUUCAGAGAGGCCACGAGCUACAAGAGUGCAGCUGUGAACUCUACAAGGGAAGUAACUGGCAAUCGGGUUUUGAGAUUUUAUAAGGGCUUGACAGCCAUUCAACUCUUCUCUCUGGUUGGCAGCUCCAUCAUAAGUCUUCACUCUGCAUCCGCAUAGUGGGGACCCAACUGUAGUCAAUAAAUACAUCAACACUUCCUUCUGCACUUGUGGCUCCCUUCGUAUUUGGCUGUGUACAAAGCCUUAAAAGAACCUAGGUUGAUCUGAGUGCCACUUGUGGUAAUGGAGUAGUUUGUUGAAACAAUUCAUUGCUCAGUGUUUUGAGACUGCCUUUUCAAAGAGCUCAAUAAUUUUCCUUUGCAGCAAAGGGAAUGUGUUGGUCGUGUUUCACUUGAUCAAAGCAGUCAACUCUUCAUUGUCUUUUUCUUGUGAGGCGAGAUAUUGGUGAAAGCUUCCUUCUCUUUUUUCUGAAUGACUCUUAAACUGUGAGCCCUGGUACAGGCGAUGCUUGGGCGCCUGAAAAAUAAUCUAGAGAUGGCGCCUCUCCACUUCCGGCUGCUUUCCAGCCUUUGUGUUGAUUUGGUCGUGGACUGACGUCGACUGAAGGCUGCAUUGCUGGUGCACUGUAUUUUUAUCCUCCUUCAGAAUUCUCUUGUUAGGCAAAUUCUUGAUCAGCAUUCUUUCAGUUUGUGAAUCCAGCUACAGGGAAUGCAUCGGGAGUUGGCUGUUUUGAAGGUUUCAAGAAUUUUUGUUGUCUUGCUGUUGUCUUUACAUUGACACCGUGCCUAGAGUCAAAGCACCGUUUUUUUUUACUGCGUGAUCUAGAAACACAUGUCAUCGAAAUACUAAAAACACUAGCACAGAAAUGCAUUUUCCUGAGGCCCAAGAAUCUUAUAGAAGCAUCGUAGGUUUAGAUUUUUGUUUCAAACAUUUUAUCAUGGCAGAGUGACAAUAUUCUUGUUCUGCGAAAUUUGGGAAAGCAUUUGCAUUGCUUGUAGCAGUCCUAAAGGUCAUUUUCAGAAUUAUUUUUGACACAUUAUGUAUGCCCUCACAGCCUCUUGUUUCCGCUGCAACAUCUGACCCUACAUAUGUGUGUCUACAGAAAGACUUUAAUAGAUUACCUUCAGCUGCAGACACAUUCAGUGAACUUUACGACUUAUUUCGUUGAGUAAGUGACAAGGUUCUUAGCAAUCAAAGAGCAAAUUCUUGCCAGAUUGCAUUAUGCUCUAUCCAUAUCAGCCUAAAGGUUUCUUUAGGUUAUUGGAUAGGCCGUGGUUAAAAGUGGCGUAGUUUCUUUGCCCUCAGCUUGCUCCUGCCUUCUGAUUUCCCAUCUUAAUUUCUAAUGAGCAACUUUCAUAUUGUAUAACUAUGAAUUGCUCAUCUACAUGUAUAGAAAUUGUUUAUUGUCUUUUGCAAUUUUGAGAUGUCCUGCCAUUUUUUUCUCAGUCCUUUGUAGUUGAAUUCUGACCCUGCAUUUGUUGUGAUCUAACUUGGGGUGUGCAUAUGCAUUUGGGCCAGUUUGUUUAUAACUUGCUGUGGAAUAAGCGGAAAGAAAAGGAUAGACAAAAAGAAAGGACCAAACACAGCGCUGCGGUUUGUCUCUCUUCUUCUGUCCUGUUCUUUCCCCUGUUUCCCCAGCAAGUUGACUUUGUUGAUUUUUUUCUCUAUCCUCUGUUGAAGUUGUAUCGGUGGUCAAUAUUUCCGGAGCCCUGCACUACGGCGUCUCUCAUAAUCAAGUAGUGGCUUUGGGACGUUAAACCCCACAAAUCAAUCAAUCAAGUUGUAUCGGCUGUACACAUCUUGCAUUGUCAUCUGUGAAAGCUGGUCAAACUUUCUGUUUUCACAUAGGGUGCACUUGCUUCAUUUUGUCUCGCCAAGCUUCUUUUUAUCUUCUCUCUCUGAAAUUCAUCAAUGUCAAUAUGUUGUAGCGUGUAAAAGGAUUCUUAGUUUCUAGGUCUCGUGAUGAAUGCUCACCACAUGUGGCUGCAGACUUAUCAAAAUGCUGUUGGGAAAAAUCAAAUAAACAUUUGGAGGUUGGCACUUGUGUA